CUGGCCGCGGUCGACGUCGCUGCAUAUUAUUAUAUAGUGUAAUGGGGAGAAACACAAAUCGCAGAGGCGGAGAAGUUUAUCGUUAUUAGAUUGUUGAAUAGUAGAACAGUGGCAGUGGCGGCUCGUGUGGUCCACAGUUGUCGAGGUACCCUAUCAUCAAACUAUAAUGAUAAAAUAUUGUUUUUUGCGCAUUCUGCAUUAUUAUGGACGAGAACAGACGACGGCGACGAUAAACGCAAAAAAAAAAUAAUAGGACUCUGGGUACAAUAAUUUGUUUGUGCUCCACAUCACCAACACGAUGGCAUACGAACCACCACUGGUGGAGCACUAGAACCAAUGAAUGCCAAUGGGUACCAUACUACCAUGUGCCCAGCCGCCCAGGUACUAUUUACUAUAUUAUGCAGAUGACACCACUGGCCACCAUCUACCAGUGCACUUGUAGCAUAUAUGACAACGAAAUACAUGAAUAUAGAAGCUACUGCCUUUAUCCGCAUAUAUUCUUUACUCGCAACGUCUCCAUAAUCCAUUUGAUGAAUUACAUGGAUCGUAAGCUCCUCAAAUACUUGCAAAAUUGGUCUUAAAUGCCUUAUUUGGUCAUUAUAUCAUAUUUAUAUAAUCAUAUCAUAUAUU